CAGGCUGAGGAAAGUCCACCCCUCCCUAGCAGCUCUGCUGACCAAGGGCCGCCCCUCACAGGUGUCAGGGUGCUUCGAGGGACCCAUGGUCCUCCGGUAACAGGAUGGAGGCCAAGGCCUCUUGGCUUGCAGAGUCUGGGGAAAUGCAUUCACCUCCCAAAGCCUCCCGGGUACUUAGGGGCUUGGAAGCUUGUCUGCAGCCCGGCUCCAUGGGUGUCUCUGCUCAGCCUGCCAAGCCAGGGCCUGUCAUCGCCUCUCCAUGCCCUCCGGCCUUCCCAGCAGGGAGAAGCCACAGGGACCUUUGCCCUCCCCGAAUCCAGAGCUGAGUCCCUGUUGGAGCAUUUGCCUUCAAGGAGAGGACGGGAAACAGCCUGUGCUCAAAUGUCAGUGGGCCGGCAGACCCCCGGCAGGCAGCAAGCCUUCUCUGUGCCUUGUGUUCCCCUGGGUUAGGGAGCUUGUUCCUGCUGCUACCUCCACAGAGGCGUGGGUUCUGUCUCCAGGGACUCAGCAGAAGGACCCAGCCAUGGGAGUCUGAAUGGCCAAUGUUUUCCAGUUCCGAGGGAAGAUGUCUGUCUUCAUCUUUCCCUGCUGCGUCUCCAGGCCUUGAACAGUGUCUGGCACACAGAAGGAGCUCAAUCUAAUGAAAGACAGCCACCCUCAAUCUAAGAAGCCAACGAGUCCGAAGCAAGAUGGAGAAGGAUUCCACUCUCCUCAUAUCAGAAUAAAAUGCAGAACACUGCGGUAUUGAAAUAGAGCCAAAGGGAAAUGCGGAUCACCAGAAAAGUAAAACAAUUCACCUGGAGACCCCCA